UUAAGGCAUGCCAUAUUUGUGUUUAUUUUGCUUGAGUGCAUUUGUGUUUAUUUAGUUUUGUGACCCAUAAUUUAAUAUUUUAUUUUGGUGAUUUUGAUUAUAAAAUUUGCAUGAAAAAAUAUAAAUGCAUAAGCUAUUUUUCUCCAGGGAGAACUUGUGCGUGCUUUGGGAGGUGCUAAAGCAACUUCAACUCUUCUUGGAGUUCCUUUGGGACAUAAUUUAUCUUUCCUUCAAGAUCCUACAUUUGCCCUGCCUCACAUUUGCGAGGCCAUUUGGUGUGAUAGUACAAACUCAACUACUAAAGAAGGCAAAGAAUUACAAGAUAUGCACGAGUGCUAAUUGAUGUUGGCGAUGUCCCUAUUCGAGAAAUUUGAGAUUGUGCGGUAGAUGAUCACAGAUUAAUGAAUGUAAUUGGUGAAUAUGGAAAGUUAGUAAUGGAUGAGGUAAAUUGGGAA